UGACCAAUCACGCAAGUGGUAGUUGGGGCUUGCCAUCGGCAUACCCUUAAAACUAGUGGCAGUGCUAUAGGCUCUCAGCGCAGUAAUUAUUUCGCUCUUGAGUCCUAGAAACACCCGACCAAAACCCCAACUUUUUUUAGG
rnacentral:misc_RNA from 1 species